rnacentral:rRNA from 1 species
UACGAAGGGGGCUAGCGUUGCUCGGAUUGACUGGGCGUAAAGGGCGCGUAGGCGGUCUGUACAGUCAGGCGUGAAAUUCCUGGGCUCAACCUGGGGGCUGCGUUUGAUACGUGCAGACUAGAGUGCGGAAGAGGGUCGUGGAAUUCCCAGUGUAGAGGUGAAAUUCGUAGAUAUUGGGAAGAACACCGGUGGCGAAGGCGGCGACCUGGUCCGAUACUGACGCUGAGGCGCGAAAGGCGUGGGGGAGCAAACAGG